UACAGAGGGUGCAAGCGUUAAUCGGAAUUACUGGGCGUAAAGCGUGCGUAGUCGGUUAUUUAAGUCGGAUGUGAAAUCCCCGGGCUCAACCUGGGAACUGCAUCCGAUACUGGAUGGCUUGAAUCCGGGAGAGGGAUGCAGAAUUCCAGGUGUAGCGGUGAAAUGCGUAGAUAUCUGGAGGAAUACCGGUGGCGAAGGCGGCAUCCUGGACCGGCAUUGACGCUGAGGAGCGAAAGCUAGGGGAGCAAACGGG
rnacentral:rRNA from 1 species